rnacentral:rRNA from 1 species
UGGGGAAUAUUGCACAAUGGGCGAAAGCCUGAUGCAGCAACGCCGCGUGAGUGAUGACGGUCUUCGGAUUGUAAAGCUCUGUCUUUGGGGACGAUAAUGACGGUACCCAAGGAGGAGGCCACGGCUAACUACGUGCCAGCAGCCGCGGUAAUACGUAGGUGGCAAGCGUUGUCCGGAUUUACUGGGCGUAAAGGGUGCGUAGGCGGACCUUUAAGUGAGAUGUGAAAUCCCCGAGCUUAACUUGGGGGCUGCAUUUCAAACUGGAGGUCUAGAGUGCAGGAGAGGAGAGUGGAAUUCCUAGUGUAGCGGUGAAAUGCAUAGAGAUUAGGAAGAACACCAGUGGCGAAGGUGACUCUCUGGACUGUAACUGACGCUGAGGCACGAAAGCGGGGGGAGCAAACAG